UACGAAGGGUGCAAACGUUGCUCGGAAUUAUUGGGCGUAAAGCGCACGUAGGCGGCUUAGCAAGUCGGAUGUGAAAUCCCUCGGCUUAACUGAGGAAGUGCACCCGAAACUGAGUAGCUAGAGUACUAAAGAGGGUCGCGGAAUUCCCGGUGUAGAGGUGAAAUUCGUAGAUAUCGGGAGGAACACCGGUGGCGAAGGCGGCGACCUGGGUAGAUACUGACGCUGAGGCGCGAAAGCGUGGGGAGCAAACAGG
rnacentral:rRNA from 1 species